GGGGGACCCAGGCCUGCCGUCCUCUCCCGCGGCGGCUAAGAGAAGGCAGAGGGGUGCAAGCUUCGGACCUGAGAAGUUCUGCAUCUGGGUUAUUGUUCGAUGAUGAUCCAGACCCCACCGGGGGAAGAAAAGGAGCAGGGGCUCUGAAGGAAAGUGCGCGGGAGGCAUUGAGAUGAGCUCCAAGAGACACCCAACCAUCUGGGAUGAGUCAGUCCCCUGGUACGGUCCUGCCUGAAGACGAAUUAAUUGAGCUCAGAAAGAAUAUUUCCCGUUUCUGUCCCCUCUCUUUCUUUUGCAGCUCACUAAAGUCUUCAGCGACGGCACCCUGAUCUAGCCGGAAGAAGUCCACAAAGCCACAAGCGUCCCCGUGCUUCAGACCUAGGAUGCACUGUUCUCCACGUAAUGGGGACAAUCUGCACAGAUGGGUGACAGAUGAAGAGAGGGCCCAACCUCUGGGGACACACAGGUUUAGAACCUGCGUCCACGAUGCCGAAGGAGCUGCAACGCCGGGCGUUGUCUGCCAAGGGACCGAGAGAAAAGAUGAGGAAACCGAGCAUGAGACCCGUUGCUCCCCACUCCCCACGGCCAGCAGCACCACUGUCUUUCUCCCCCAGGUCACAGAGCUGUCACGAGGGCGGUGGCAUUGGGGCGCAAAAACGCACCGCGUGUUCUUCCAGAAGAAAAGAGGCCACUGGGCCUGCCUCUGCUGCCUUCCUGAAGUGGGGCCCUCCCCGGCAGCAGCAGGCCCUUAGCCUCUGUUGAUGAAUUGAGAGCCCAAGAGCUCGUCCAGUUGACUGCAGUAUCUUCCUGCGUCCCCAGAGUGUUGGAGUCAGUGGUUACAGAGACGCAGAGCUCAGCUGGGAAACAUCCCGGAAUAGGAGGCAAAGAACCGCUUUAGACAGGAGUGGGGAACGGCUCCCGGUUGAUAAAAAAAAAAGUCAGAGACAGAGAUGGAGAGAGAAACACACACAGAGAGAGAGCGACCGAGGCAGAGAGAGAGUGAGGGGGGAAAAGAGACAACCAGGAACCCCAGCAGGCCGGGGCUGGCCUGGGCGAGCCCCAGUGAGCCAGCCUCCGGCUGGAGUAGGGCCCACACGGGCCGACUGGUCCCGGGGACUGACCCCGCCGUCCCACGCACACCCAUGCACAUGCCGUCUGCAGUCUCUCCUCGAGUCUUCCCUGCAGCACCGAGGGGUGGGGGCGCCUGGACUCUUCCGUAAGCUCUGCCCAGCCCCUCUCGGCACCAGCCCAAAGUGAGCAUCACUCAGAAGGAGAAGCCUCUGGCUCAGGGUCACCGGCCGGUGGGUGCCUCAUGAAG
rnacentral:lncRNA from 1 species